AUGAAGCCAGCCAUGGGAGAAAAAGCUCCCUCCUCCUCCUCAUCAUCUCCGCUCAAAGACAAUUCAUCCGAGGUAUCAGCUGAUCCUCCUCAACCAAAUUUAACCUCCUCUCCAGCCGAUCAAACAACAAUAAUCUCAUCAAGCCCUUGCCCAGAUGUAAACAAAACCCACAAUCCUCCUCCUCUCCAUAAACCACCUGUUAACCUCUCUUUCGCUCAAGCUGUAUCCACCUCCUCCUCAUCCUCCUCCUACACCAACAGCCUAACCAAGGAACAUGCAAUUAUCAUUCCUGUUAUUGAGCAAUUAACAUUGCUUGACUAUCUCCGAGCAGUAGACCGAUUGAGUCGAAGUCAGGCACUUUUUUUUUUUUGCCCGCACUGAUACCGGCUGGGAACUGGAGAAUUGAAAUUCUGUCUUUUUUAAGCGCAAAAAUAACUGGCAAUUUAUUAAGUAGAAGGUAGGGAAUACCAUAGACAGAGGGGAUAAAAAAAUGAUAUCGUUAUCAAGACACACGAGUCUAAUCAAAGGGCGAGAUGUUGACCCAAAAUCGAACAAAUGACAUGAAACCUCUUCGAUCAGACUAUCAGUCGUGACGUGUCUCUUGCAUUGAUAAUUUCAACUGAAUGAAUUAUUCCGUAAGGUGGGAACAAGGAGCACGCCUGCUUAAAAAAAGGUAAGUGCUGUUAGAGGUAUACAUUUUAAAGAGAGGAAUAUUAGCGGUCAUAAGUUUUAUCUUGGUUAGAUUUUUGAUACGCAAGUUUCAUUGAACAGCCAACCAGAAACUAUUAAUAAUAGUACCUAGUAAAUUUUUGCAAACCAUCCAUUGCAAACCAUGUUCUUAUGUUACAACUGUCUAAGUGCGUUUCUCGGAAGACACGAUUCAUUUCAAGAGAGAAAAAAAAUUAUAGUUUUCCUUGAAAUUGUUGACACAUGUUUGUACAUUUUUAGUAGAUAUCUCAGUUAGUUUUCGUUUUCGAAACAUACAUUAUAACUAGAGACUUUUUAGUGUUGCAAUGAAUACACGAAUUUUUCGACUUACAUUUUCGAUGUACACAAUUUUAAUGAAAUGCAAGUGUACCUAAUUUGAAUCCGUGUUAGGCCCAUGCGGAAAAAUGGUUAAUUCCCAUAAUUUCAUACUGCAGAGCAGUGGCGUGGCGUGCAAUGCGAUAUAUCGUUUGAUCUGCCAUUUAAACCUGUGGAAAAGGAUCGAUUAUCAGGGUGUUUGCAACGAACACCUUAAUAAUCGAUUCUUUACCAUAGCUUCAAAUGGGGAAAUAUCGACUCAUAUUGAAUCACGCCCACGCCACAGCUGCAGAGACUGUUUACGGUGACCUUUAGUGCACAAUUUGACUCUUGUAGACUUUUGUUUUUUCAUGAGCGAGAGGUUUGGAUUAACGCAUCGAAAAACGUUAAGUAUCCUAGUUAGGAUUUAUCUCCUAAAAUUACUUAUCUACAAAGUUAUCUACGAAAAUUACUGAAAUUGUUUUCAGUAAUUUUCGUCGCGUAAAUCGUAUUUUACGUGAAAUUUUGAUCAGGAAUCGUGUAGCAGAAUACUUUAAUUCGCACCUUGUUUAGUGGACCAUUUGUGAUUCCAAUUACAGCUAUGGUGAUUAAAAUUAAGAUUACUGGAGUUAAUUUUUCUGGAAACGAGAGGUAUACUACCUCUCAAUUCAUGUUACACACACCCUCACACUCACUGUCCAUCACACAGUACGUCACAUGGUACGUGACACUGUCCAUCACAUGAAAAGAGAAGAAGUUUUCCAGAAAACCGAUUUCCCCAAAAAUCUUAUAGCAUAAUAUUCCCCUUGAUCAACCAACGCAGUUUAGUGAAAGAGAAUUUCCGGACGCUUUACCUAGACUAAUUGGAUUUUCAAAUUUCGAAAAAUCUUACCUUUGCCAUCAAUUUCCCUAUACUUUUCGGGCAUUGUAUAUCACGUUCCAUGUGCAUCAUUAACAUUCUACCAGUUUCCAAUUUUUGAUGAAGAUAAAAAUUGAAUUUCUUCAUAGAGGAAUGGCACUCUUUCCACCCGCAAUAAUCGGUCAAUAUUCAAAAGUUAGACAGAAAGAAUGUAAGCGAUCUAUUAUUGGUCCAUCAAACCCUAUGCUUUUGAUGUCCUUUUUUCAUUCCGCUUUUUGAAACAUUGAACACUC
rnacentral:lncRNA from 1 species